rnacentral:rRNA from 1 species
GAUGAACGCUAGCGGCAGGCCUAACACAUGCAAGUCGAGGGGCAGCACAGGUAGCAAUACUGGGUGGCGACCGGCGGAUGGGUGCGUAACGCGUAUGCAACCUACCAUUGAUUGGGGCAUAGCCCGAAGAAAUUCGGAUUAAUACUCCAUAAUAUUCAUCAAAGGCAUCUUUUAUGAAUUAAAGCUUUUGCGAUCAAUGAUGGGCAUGCGUGACAUUAGUUAGUUGGUGAGGUAACGGCUCACCAAAACGAUGAUGUCUAGGGGUUCUGAGAGGAUUAUCCCCCACACUGGUACUGAGACACGGACCAGACUCCUACGGGAGGCAGCAGUGAGGAAUAUUGGUCAAUGGACGCAAGUCUGAACCAGCCAUGCCGCGUGCAGGAUGACGGCCCUAUGGGUUGUAAACUGCUUUUCCACGGAAGAACCCUCCGACGUGUCGGAGACUGACGGUACCGUGGGAAUAAGCAUCGGCUACUCGUGCC